rnacentral:rRNA from 1 species
UACGUAGGAGGCAAGCGUUGUCCGGAAUCAUUGGGCGUAAAGAGCGUGUAGGCGGCCAGAUAAGUCCGCUGUGAAAUCUCGAGGCUCAACUUCGAGCUGUCGGUGGAAACUAUCUGGCUAGAGUCCGGAAGAGGAGAAUGGAAUUCCUGGUGUAGCGGUGAAAUGCGCAGAUAUCAGGAAGAACACCCGUGGCGAAGGCGGUUCUCUGGAACGCAACUGACGCUGAGACGCGAAAGCGUGGGGAGCAAACAGG